UACGUAGGGUGCGAGCGUUGUCCGGAAUUAUUGGGCGUAAAGAGCUCGUAGGCGGUGUGUCACGUCGUUCGUGAAAACCUGCAGCUUAACUGUGGGCGUGCGGUCGAUACGGGCAUCACUGGAGUUCGGCAGGGGAGACUGGAAUUCCUGGUGUAGCGGUGAAAUGCGCAGAUAUCAGGAGGAACACCGAUGGCGAAGGCAGAUCUCUGGGCCGUAACUGACGCUGAGGAGCGAAAGCGUGGGGAGCGAACAGG
rnacentral:rRNA from 1 species